AGCGAGACCACGAACAACCGGGAGGAGCAAACAACUCCAGACGCGCGGCCUUUAAGAGCUGUAACACUCACCACGAAGGUCUGCAGCUUCACUCCUGAAGUCAGCGAGACCAUGAACCCACCGGGAGGAAUGAAAAACUCCAGACACGCCGCCUUUAUGAACUGUAACACUCACCACGAAGGUCUGCAGCUUCAAUCCUGAAGCCCAUAGAGACCAGGAACCCACCGGGAGGAAGGAACAACUCCAGAAGCGCCGCCUUUAUGAACUGUAAUGCUCACCGCGAAGGUCUGCAGCUUCAUUCCUUAAGUCAGCGAGACCAUGAACCCACCAAAAGGAAAAAACUCUGGACACGUCCGAACAUCAGAAGGAACAAACUCCGGACGCACCAUCUUUAAGAACUGUAACACUCACCACGAGGGUCCGCGGCUUCAUUCUUGAAAUCAGCCAGACCAAGAACCCACCGAUUCCGGACACAGUGGUUCCGUGGAGUGUGGAGGUUCAGCAAGACUCAAAGAUGGACCGUACUGAUGAGAGCAGGGCAGCUAAGCAUCAAGCCAGAAGGAAUUGGGCUCCUUGUCCCUCUGGGAUUGCCGCAGCAGCCAGGACAGCUUGAGCUCAGACUACCAGGUUUUCUAUAAAUGGUUACCUUGAAAGAUUUGACUGGAUUGUGUUUCACCUUUUUUGGCGAGGCUCAAUCAGAACCAUGGGCGUCCUGCUGCAUCACAUCUGGAGGCAGAUGCUGAGAUGACUUGAGCCAAACGAAAUUGCAUGUAUGACUGUUCAUUUCUCCUCACUCUACUCGCAGUAGGUGCCAGAGACGGAGGGCCUCAAGCCAGGGCAGGAGGAUGUGACAUUGCUUUCCUCUUCAUAGAGGCGAUAUCACCCUUGAGCACCUGCUCCUAGAGAGCUGCAUGCAGCUGGCAACUGCACCAGCACAGCAAUAUCACCCACAGCAGGCUCCGCUGAGGGCCAAGCCCCACCCCACCCAGGCUCCUACUCUCCCUUCUGCUUUGCGUUCUGUGAUGAUGGCAUAUCACUCUUUUCCAAAUGAAAACAGAAAAAUGCAAAAUCCAGUCUUGAGAAGGAAUGUUCUCACUUUUCAAAGAGCUACUGGUCUGUAAUGUGAGAAAGCUGGAAAGCUGUUUAUUGGAAAAACUGUGGAUGUUUCUUGUCGCAAAGGAGUGACCCUAUGGUGCUGAAAGGCAUAUGUUUCGGAAUAACGACUUCUAGCAUAUAUUUUGGAAUGUAACCCUCUCAAAGAACUACCUUGCAGCUUUCAAGGACCACCGUGAUCUCAAGGAGAAGUUAACUAAGAGCAAUUAUAGAAGAGAGAAGGACCAGGUAGAGGAAAGUUGGCAGAACCCAGGAUAAAUCCAAGUUUGGGGGUUAUACUGAGAACAGAGAGGAAGUUCUCUUACAACUUAUGACCAGAACAUCCACUAGCAAAAUGUAGUGGCCUGUUUCCUCCAUCCAAAAGAGAAAUGGAAAGCCCCAAACUUGGGAUCAAAAAAGUGAAUAACACAAUUAUCAACGCGUGAAAAUCUAACACAAACUGUCCUUUUGAGGACAGCAGAGCCCCUGGAAUCAGAAAAAGCCUAACAGCCCCUGACUUAACCCCUUUCUUACUGUGUGACCUUGGGGAGUGACCUAAAUGCUCUGAGCUUUUGACUUUUUAUAGGUAAAGUAGGUAGUAAUACCAACCUCCUGUGAGUAUUCAGAGAGAGAAAUGAUAAAAUGCAAGGAGAGUAUUUAGCACAAUGCCUUGCACCAGGUUGUCAGUCAACAGUAGCUAACUCGUAUCAGUGGCAGCCAAAACCACACGAGUACCACAUGCCUGAUGUCCAAUAAGGGCAUGUUGCAGGGAUUUUGCCAUUAUUUCUGGUGCCAUAUAGAAUACCCCUUAGCUCCUGACCCUGGUGCCAUUUUUUGCUGCUUCUGCCUGAUUCCUGCAUGUUGACUCAGUUUCCAUUUUUAACUCUACUCCUGCAGAUUGAACCACAGAUGUUGGUUUUCUAGGUAAUAUCUAUCUGGAAUUGGGCCUAUUUGCAUAACACCUAGCACCACCACAUAGGAAGGUGGGGGUGAGAUUUGGAUAGUGGGAUUUGGAAAAUGAGACACUGUUAAUUUAUGAGAAACAAGUAUGAGGAUUUUAGUUAAUUGUAAAAUCCACAUGGUCAACAACACAUUUGGGAGGAGGGAUGAGUGUAAUCUGAUUCCAAAACUCAAAGGUGGGCCUCCAAGUUGGCAUGAGCUUGAUUUUGGGCACUAGCAAUAAGUAUUUACUAGGCACUAAUUAUCAAGUAUUCACUAUAUACUAGACACUAUUCAUUGAAAUGUAUAAACACGAUUUAAUAUAAUCUUUCAACCAUUGUUAGAAAAGAUUGUACAAAGUUUUACCAACCAGGAAAUAACUUACCUGAAGUCAAAACAGCAAGCAAGUGUUGAAUAUGGAAUUGACACAGGCCUUCAAAGCCAAUAUAUAUAUCUUAACAACUGAAGAACUCUAACAUUGGCCCCAAAUUAGGCCUUUCCUCAACAAUUAGUAAUUAUCACACACACACACACACACACACACACACACACACACACACACACACAUUUUGUUUCUUCCUUCCUCUCAAACACUCAGAAGAGUUAGCUAGAAAAGCACUCAUAGAUUAUUAAUUUUUAGUGUCUCAUUUUUUAUGCCUCUCAUCUUAAAAACUAUGUUUGGUAUCAACAGAUCUUGCUCAAUUUCUUAGAGUUUUGGGGCAACAUUGUUACCUGAUUCCAAAAACAAAAUGAAAUGGCAUAAUAAAAUUAAAACGGUUGUGUUCUUCAGCUUUAAAUGUGCAAAACUACUCUGCAAGUUAAGUAAAGCCUUUUGUUUGCUGGACUGUCAAAACACAUUUAGAAAACUAAUGGGUUUCAAGUGAUCUAUUUUAACUGGAACAUCAUUGAACUAAAAUUUAUCUAUUGAAGCUAAGCUGCAAACCAUGUCACAUAGGAAGGGUUGAAAAGAAAUAGAAAAACAGAAAACUAAAAGGGACAUAAUAGUUGUUUUCAAAUAUUGAAAGGCUGUUGUGAAGAAGUCAAAUUGAAUGUAUCCAUAUGGCCUUAAGGAGUGCAUAGAUGGAAAUCACUAAACGUAAUGAAUGUUCUUAUAUUCUUGUGUAUAUUCAGAUUAUUCUGUGUUCAAAGAGGGACAUUUUGGCAGUUAGUUGGGUUUUUGGCUCUAUAGUUUUCCAGCAGAGGCUGGCUUGGGGAUGGACUUCUUAUACACUUGGACAUUGGGACAGAUUAGUGACUCCUAAGAGUCUAUGAUUUUACCCAUUAAAUUGCAUCAUUCAAAUAGGCAGGUAUACUCAUUGCUGUUGGAAACUUUUGCAAAAAUCUGAGACAGAGUAGGAGUGAGAGUAGGGGUACCACUGCCCAUGAGACUACAGGAAGGCCUGGUGAGAGGAGUGAGAUGAGAGAAGAAAUGGGAGAGCUGAGGUCAGAGGUCAAGGGAAGCAAAUUGAGUGUCAACAAUAGGUGGUAGAUAAAUAGAAGCAUGGUGCAUUGGUAGAGGUUGGAAUGAAGCAGGAAGUUAGAGUGUAGUGGGCAAGAAGGCAAUGUAGGGGAUCGAGUGGAUAAAGUUAGUCCAGGUCCUUAAUCUGCUGACACUGACACUGAAUUUAAAAAUUCAAAAUAAACUUUUCUUAUUUCAAAUGCAAGACAUGCUCCCAUUACAAAAAUCUGAAAUAUAGACUUUCAUUACACAAACAAGAAAAUAUAAAUUCCCAGAGUUCUAGUCAAUCAGAGAAAACUACUAAAAACACAUUAUUAGGGCCGAACAUGAUGGCUCAUGCCUGUAAUCCCGGUAUUUUAAGAGGCCGAGACAGGAGGAUCACCUGAGGUUAGGAGUUCGAGACCAGCCUGGCCAACAUGGUGAAAC